GACGGAGGGUGCCAGCGUUGUUCGGAUUGACUGGGCGUAAAGGGCGUGUAGGCGGUUGGUCAAGUCUGGUGUGAAAGCCCGGGGCUUAACCCCGGAAGUGCAUUGGAAACUAGCCAGCUAGAGCGCGAGAGAGGAGGGUGGAAUUCCUGGUGUAGCGGUGAAAUGCGUAGAUAUCAGGAGGAACACCGGCGGCGAAGGCGGCCCUCUGGCUCGUUGCUGACGCUGAAACGCGAAAGCGUGGGGAGCAAACAGG
rnacentral:rRNA from 1 species